rnacentral:lncRNA from 1 species
UUGAAAAUGCGCCUCUCUCUCUUCAUUUACUCUUUUCACUACCUCUUUUUCUUGAAGUCUACUUGUUAAUUAAUAAUUAGAGGAGUACUAUCUCUUUCUCUCUCCAAAAUAAAAUAAGAUUGUAAUUUUGUAAUCUUUUGGGUGUGUGAAUUCUCUGAAGAAGCAAAGUCUUCUCCCUCACACCUUUCAGUCUCUCACUUCUCUCCUUCCUUUCUCAAUCAUGGAGAUCGACGAGUAUAGGGUUUGACGCCACUCAAAGCUUACCAAAUUGUCUGUUCUUUACUGUUUUUGCCCUUUACUUGAGAGACUGUCCUUUUCUUUGGUUGAUUUGCUAUUGUCAUUUUGGUCUCUAUUUGUUCUUUUUUUUUAAUUUGUUUAGAACCCCAGUUUAAUUUGGUCUUCUGGGUAGACUUCUGAGUUUUGAUUGACCUUUUUGUUGAGUUGAACAUUUUUUUUUUAAUUUUGAUUAGUGGGUAUCCAUGCUGUUUGAGUAAUCAAGAUGGGUUUUUUACUAUUUGGGUUUAUGAUUUAUUUAUUUUUGUGUGAUUGAAGUUCUGUUAAAGGAGCCGACUCCGAGGUGGUUUUGAUGUUUAUGGCGUCAUGGGUUUGUAAAAUUAGGUUUUUUGUUUGCUCAUUUUUGAUUCAAGGGUGUUGAAAUGGAGGUUGAAAAAGCUAACAAAGCAGCAGUUGAGAGUCGUCACAGAGUUCUAAGUCUGAUAUCUCAGCCCCAAGAUCAGAUUCAGUAUAUUAUUUUGGACUAAAAGUUUCAUUACUCUCGUCCGUACUAGCGGACGACGUGAUUUAUUUUUCUAUCACAGCUAUUCAUGUUUUUUAAUGGAAGGUAUAGAUGUUAUAUGUCAUUUUUUAAUUCAUAGCAAAUAGAUAUUAUGGAUCAUUCUCUUAUAUAUAUAUAUAUAUAUAUGGGAAUCCAUCCAUGACAACCGGUUGUUAUGGAUACUGUGCAACAACCUCUUUUCAGACUGUUGAUCAACUUAUUGGAAGGCUGAGAUUGGGAUAUAUUAAUACCAAGCCGUGACAAGCUCGACUGGUUUCUAUUUAAAUAAGAGGGGCCCGCAUUUAAACAUAUUGUCAGUAUAGUUAAACAAAAUGAAUAUUUAAUAUUAAAAUAUUACAACCGGU